UACGUAGGGGGGCUAGCGUUGUCCGGAAUCAUUGGGCGUAAAGCGCGUGUAGGCGGCCCGGUAAGUCCGCUGUGAAAGUCCAGGGCUCAACCCUGGGAUGCCGGUGGAUACUGUCGGGCUCGAGUCCGGAAGAGGCGAGUGGAAUUCCUGGUGUAGCGGUGAAAUGCGCAGAUAUCAGGAGGAACACCAAUGGCGAAGGCAGCUCGCUGGGACGUGACUGACGCUGAGACGCGAAAGCGUGGGGGAGCAAACAGG
rnacentral:rRNA from 1 species